rnacentral:rRNA from 1 species
UACGGAGGGUGCAAACGUUGCUCGGAAUCAUUGGGCGUAAAGCGCACGUAGGCGGACCGCUAAGUCGGAUGUGAAAGCCCUCGGCUUAACCGAGGAAGUGCAUUCGAAACUGACGGUCUUGAGUAUGGAAGAGGGUCGCGGAAUUCCCGGUGUAGAGGUGAAAUUCGUAGAUAUCGGGAGGAACACCAGUGGCGAAGGCGGCCUUCUGGUCCAGUACUGACACUCAAGUGCGAAAGCGUGGGGAGCAAACAGG